GGCGGCAGGCCUAACACAUGCAAGUCGAGCGCAGUCCUUCGGGACCGAGCGGCGGACGGGUUAGUAACGCGUGGGAACAUACCCUUUUCUACGGAAUAGCCUCGGGAAACUGAGAGUAAUACCGUAUAAGCCCUUCGGGGGAAAGAUUUAUCGGGAAAGGAUUGGCCCGCGUUAGAUUAGAUAGUUGGUGGGGUAAUGGCCUACCAAGUCUACGAUCUAUAGCUGGUUUUAGAGGAUGAUCAGCAACACUGGGACUGAGACACGGCCCAGACUCCUACGGGAGGCAGCAGUGGGGAAUCUUAGACAAUGGGCGCAAGCCUGAUCUAGCCAUGCCGCGUGUGUGAUGAAGGUCUUAGGAUCGUAAAGCACUUUCGCCAGGGAUGAUAAUGACAGUACCUGGUAAAGAAACCCCGGCUAACUCCGUGCCAGCAGCCGCGGUAAUACGGAGGGGGUUAGCGUUGUUCGGAAUUACUGGGCGUAAAGCGUACGUAGGCGGAUCAGAAAGUAGGGGGUGAAAUCCCAGGGCUCAACCCUGGAACUGCCUCCUAAACUCCUGGUCUUGAGUUCGAGAGAGGUGAGUGGAAUUCCAAGUGUAGAGGUGAAAUUCGUAGAUAUUUGGAGGAACACCAGUGGCGAAGGCGGCUCACUGGCUCGAUACUGACGCUGAGGUACGAAAGUGUGGGGAGCAAACAGGAUUAGAUACCCUGGUAGUCCACACCGUAAACGAUGAAUGCCAGUCGUCGGGCAGUAUACUGUUCGGUGACACACCUAACGGAUUAAGCAUCCG
rnacentral:rRNA from 1 species